UACGUAGGGUGCGAGCGUUGUCCGGAAUUACUGGGCGUAAAGGGCUCGUAGGUGGCCAACUAAGUCAGACGUGAAAUCCCUCGGCUUAACCGGGGAACUGCGUCUGAUACUGGAUGGCUUGAGUUCGGGAGAGGGAUGCGGAAUUCCAGGUGUAGCGGUGAAAUGCGUAGAGAUCCGGAGGAACACCAGUGGCGAAGGCGACCCGCUGGGUCACACCUGACACUGAGACGCGACAGCGUGGGGAGCGAACGGG
rnacentral:rRNA from 1 species